CUCCAUCCUUAAGUCGAGCAGGAAUACCAGCAUGAUGAGUAAGCUUACGUAAAGCAAUAGGAACAUUUAGAUCAUCAUUAUCUAAUGUAAAAUGAAUGGGAGGUACAGGAGAAUUACCAUUCAUCGUAGAAGAUGCAACCGUCGGGACAGGAGAGGAAGACCUGGAGACUGGAGAAUGCGUAAUAGGCUCUGAGAGAGGAGAUGAAUCAGAUGAAACUGAAGUAACAUGCUGUGAGAGAGUCUCAGAUGCAGUUUUAGAUGCUUCUCCUUGAGUGUCAGAACUAGCAUUAAUAGAAAUAAACUCUCCCUGAGUAUCAGAUCCACCAUUUGUAGUUUUAGAUACUUCUCCUUGAGUGUCAGAACUAGCAUUAAUAGAAAUAAACUCUCCUUGAGUAUCAAAUCCACUAUUUGUACCAACAUCCACAGUGAUAGGACUCCCUCCAGAGGACUCCCCUUCUCGACCAGUUCCAGAGGUGAUGA
rnacentral:lncRNA from 1 species